AAUAGAUACCCAGGUAGUCCACGCCCUAAACGAUGUCGACUGGUUGUUGGGGGUUUGACACUCUCAGUAACGAAGCUAACGCGUGAAGUCGACCGCCUGGGGAGUACGGCCGCAAGGUUAAAACUCAAAGGAAUUGACGGGGACCCGCACAAGCGGUGGAUGAUGUGGAUUAAUUCGAUGCAACGCGAAAAACCUUACCUACCCUUGACAUGUAUGGAACCCUGCCGAGAGGUGGGGUGCCCGAAAGGGAGCCAUAACACAGGUGCUGCAUGGCUGUCGUCAGCUCGUGUCGUGAGAUGUUGGGUUAAGUCCCGCAACGAGCGCAACCCUUGUCCCUAGUUGCUACGCAAGAGCACUCCAGGGAGACUGCCGGUGACAAACCGGAGGAAGGUGGGGAUGACGUCAAGUCCUCAUGGCCCUUAUGGGUAGGGCUUCACACGUCAUACAAUGGUCGGAACAGAGGGUCGCCAACCCGCGAGGGGGAGCCAAUCCCAGAAAACCGAUCGUAGUCCGGAUCGCACUCUGCAACUCGAGUG
rnacentral:rRNA from 1 species